rnacentral:rRNA from 1 species
CCUACGGGAGGCAGCAGUGGGGAAUAUUGGGCAAUGGGCGCAACCCUGACCCAGCAACGCCGCGUGAAGGAAGAAGGCUUUCGGGUUGUAAACUUCUUUUCUGGGGGACGAAAAAAUGACGGUACCCCAGGAAUACGCCACGGCUAACUACGUGCCAGCAGCCGCGGUAAUACGUAGGUGGCAAGCGUUAUCCGGUUUUAUUGGGUGUAAAGGGCGUGUAGGCGGGAAUGCAUGUCAGAUGUGAAAACUCAGGGCUCAACCCUGAGCCUGCAUUUGAAACUGUGUUGCUUGAGUGCAGGAGAGGCAAUCGGAAUUCCUAGUGUAGCGGUGAAAUGCGUAGAUAUACGGAGGAACACCAGUGGCGAAGGCGGAUUGCUGGACAGUAACUGACGCUGAGGCGCGAAAGCGUGGGGAGCAAACAGGAUUAGAUACCCCAGUAGUC